rnacentral:rRNA from 1 species
UGCUGUGGCCAUGCCACCUUGAACGUGCAUGAUCUUGGAAGCUAAGCAGGUCAGUCCUGGUUAGUACUUGGAUGGGAGACAGGAUACAGGAACAGCAGGCUGGCAGAGCCU